UACAGAGGUCUCAAGCGUUGUUCGGAUUCAUUGGGCGUAAAGGGUGUGUAGGUGGCGCCGUAAGUCGGGUGUGAAAUUUCGGAGCUUAACUCCGAAACUGCAUUCGAUACUGCGGUGCUUGAGGACUGGAGAAGAGACUGGAAUUCAUGGUGUAGCAGUGAAAUGCGUAGAGAUCAUGAGGAAGACCAGUGGCGAAGGCGGGUCUCUGGACAGUUCCUGACACUGAGACACGAAGGCCAGGGGAGCAAACGGG
rnacentral:rRNA from 1 species